rnacentral:rRNA from 1 species
GUUAUAGGGUCAAGCGAACAAGUGCAUGUGGUGGAUGCCUUGGCGAUCACAGGCGAUGAAGGACGCGGUAGCCUGCGAAAAGCUACGGGGAGCUGGCAAACGAGCUUUGAUCCGUAGAUGUCCGAAUGGGGGAAACCCACUCCUUUUGGAGUAUCCAUGGCUGAAUACAUAGGCCAUGCGAAGCGAACGCGGUGAACUGAAACAUCUAAGUAACCGCAGGAAAAGAAAUCAACCGAGAUUCCCAAAGUAGUGGCGAGCGAAAUGGGAUGAGCCUUGCACUCUUUAUUUGUAUUGUUAGCCGAACGCUCUGGAAAGUGCGGCCAUAGCAGGUGAUAGCCCUGUAGGCGAAAACAGUAUGAAAGAACUAGGUGUGCGACAAGUAGGGCGGGACACGUGAAAUCCUGUCUGAAGAUGGGGGACCAUCCUCCAAGGCUAAAUACUCGUGAUCGACCGAUAGUGAACCAGUACCGUGAGGGAAAGGCGAAAAGAACCCCGGGAGGGGAGUGAAAUAGAUCCUGAAACCGCAUGCAUACAAACAGUCGGAGCCUCGUAAGGGGUGACGGCGUACCUUUUGUAUAAUGGGUCAGCGACUUACGUUCAGUAGCAAGCUUAACCGUAUAGGGCAGGCGUAGCGAAAGCGAGUCCGAAUAGGGCGUUCAGUUGCUGGGCGUAGACCCGAAACCAGGUGAUCUAUCCAUGGCCAGGAUGAAGGUGCGGUAACACGUACUGGAGGUCCGAACCCACUAACGUUGAAAAGUUAGGGGAUGAGCUGUGGAUAGGGGUGAAAGGCUAAACAAACCCUGGAAAUAGCUGGUUCUCUCCGAAAACUAUUUAGGUAGUGCCUCGUGUCUCACCUUCGGGG